AUCCACGAUUUAUUUUCGUCUGAUUUAUUUUUGUCUGAUUUCUUUUCGUCUCACCUUCCCUCCCAAUAAAAACUUUCUUCACAUUUGCAAACUUUCCUAAUCAGACACAUUACAAACGAGAAGGUAAUGAUAUCACAUUAUAAGCAAUAAUCCUCAUUUUCAUGAAAACCAAUUUAAAAUCCUAACUUUCCUAACUCAUGGAUUCUUACCUUUCCUAUUCUCUGCUCCUGAUUAGGCAGUUGGUAGGUGAUAUCGUCCCUUCAAACCCCCAAACCUCGAUCGAACAAAGGCUCCCCCACGAUUCCUCAAGACUCCGAAUGAAAAAAAAAUACAGGCAAGAAAAACCAGCGUGAGCGAGACCUACGAACCUCUGCCCCUCUCCCCUCCUCCCCAGCCGCGAAGUGAAGCCGGUCAGCCGCUGCCCAUCGCAUGCGCCUGGGUUCCCGAUGGAGCCCGCGGCCUACACGUCAUUGGCGAAUAGGUGAAGGGCGACCUCGGAGGACCUGAAGCUGCGGCUGCAGCGGAGGACGCUCGAGACCGUGCUGGAGCAGUGUGGUGAUCCGAACGACGAUGAGGAGUGGGAGGUCGGGAAUCCGGGCUAGGGACGCGACGGCUGAGUGGCGACAUCAGUCACGGGGAGUGGUCACCCUCGGCGCUGGAGACGGAGUCGUCCGACGGCGACAACGAGACAGACAGGUAGAUAGAUCUCCCAUCCUGUGCAUCGCCUACCUUUUUUUAGAUGUUUUUUGAGAAUGUGCAUCGCCUACCUUGUCGCGCUGCCAUCACGGAGACGCUGCCGCGGGCGAGGGGGAGGAGGGCGUCCGGAUCCGCUCCCGUCACUGCUAUCUGGGGCCGGAGAGGGAGGAGCUGAGAUCUUCAUAGUGUUCUGGGUGACAACGAGGAAGGAGGGAAAGGGUUAUGCAUCCAGCGAUGGCGCGGCCGCCGAUCCUCUCCAUCAUACUGCCGUCCGACGCAGGGCAUCCUCAACAUACAGUCCCACACCAUGAAAAUGUGACCUUUUCAAUGUAGAAUGGCUACCAAAUCCUUCUGGCCCAGUCAAGCUGUCGUUUUAUAAAGAUAACAAGAACUGGAUGAGAAUGGUAGACCAGACACCAGGUAUCUUGACUAGAAACCUAAUAAGCAUGAUCUGCCCCAUUUGGUGAAGUUAGAUUUCUAGCUGCUAUGAGGAGCAAAGCAUGGGACUAAUCAGUAACUUCAUUCUUUGUAGACAAGUUCAGUCAUUGAUUUGCAUGUUGUCUAAGGCAAAUAAUACAGCAUUACGUGACUCCUCCUUUUAGUUCUCCUUUUCUCAUACUGAAGUGUUGUUGUUAAUGCUCACUUUGAAGCACCAUGUCUGUAUGGCAUUUACUUAUUGUUUAUGUUCAAAUGCCCUCAAAAUAGCAUUAAGAUGUCCUUACAAAGUGUUCAUGUGGUCCCCGUGAUAAUGCCUUUUGAGAAUGGGUUGAGAGUAGGUCCUGUGCUUCAGAUAACUGAAUGUCCAGUAAUAUCAUCAACCUUCAGCGAGCAGCGACUCUAAACUACAUCGCCUCAAACGGACCAAGAUAUAUUGAUGUGUCCUUUCAUGUGCUUUGUGAGUUGAAUUUUCGUUGGUCUCGACCCAGCAUGUAUCUUCACUUUCAGUUGUCGAACUGUAGACUAUGAAACUGAGAAAGAUGUGAGGCUUUUGAUAGGUCAGGUGUUUUUACUAAAAUGUGAUGAGGACAGCAAUACCAUUGUUACACCUACAAGCCCUACUGCUACAUAUACUAGACCAAUUACUAGAGCUCGCGCACGCCAACUAAAUUAUCAGGUACUUUCGUUUCUUAGUAAUGAUUCUAAUGUUCAUGAGAAUAUGAUGCUGCUUAAAUUGGAUACAUUUGUUUUGCUUAUAAAUGAAGGGCGUGGCAUGGAUAAGAGGAAUGAACACUGGAACAAGGCAAAGCAUGUAGAUUAUGGAAUACGCAAGGGGAACUAGAACGAAGUUACAAGUGAUGAUUUCAGGACUUUGAAGCCAUCAUAAUGAGUGCAUGAAGCCUUGGACGAAAUAUACAAGAUGCCACUUCAUAAAUUUCGUCGAGAGGCUAUUCUAGGUGUUGCGUCACCUUAUUAUUGGGCCAAGCCCAUGUAAUUUCGAAAUACUUAAGCAUAGGCUGUUUUUAGAGACUGUAUGUGUGAAGAAACAAGAGUUAGGGUUGGUUUCGGACCCCUCCUCCAAGGGCCAUGAAAUUGCCCCCUCUUCCUCCAUAUAUACAGCCCUGAGGGCGUCGUUUAGACUUUGGGUUUUGUUUAGAUUAAAAUUUCGCCAUAGCUGCAACUUCGUGUUCUUCAUUUGUGUUCUAUGACCAAACCAAGACAUCACAGAACCCUACCUUAAUAAAUAAAGCUUUCAUCUUAUAUACGCAAUAUCCAGAUUGCAAUCUUA